UCAGAUUGAACGCUGGCGGCAGGCCUAACACAUGCAAGUCGAGCGGUAACAUUUCUAAGCUUGCUUAGAAGAUGACGAGCGGCGGACGGGUGAGUAAUGCUUGGGGAUCUGCCUGAUGGCGGGGGACAACCACUGGAAACGGUGGCUAAUACCGCAUAAUACCUAUGGGUCAAAGUGUGGGACCUUCGGGCCACACGCCAUCAGAUGAACCCAAGUGAGAUUAGCUGGUUGGCAAGGUAACGGCUUACCAAGGCGACGAUCUCUAGCUGGUCUGAGAGGAUGAUCAGCCACACUGGGACUGAGACACGGCCCAGACUCCUACGGGAGGCAGCAGUGGGGAAUAUUGGACAAUGGGGGCAACCCUGAUCCAGCCAUGCCGCGUGUGUGAAGAAGGCCUUCGGGUUGUAAAGCACUUUCAGUGGUGAGGAAGGUGGUGUCGUUAAUAGCGGCAUCAAUUGACGUUAGCCACAGAAGAAGCACCGGCUAACUCCGUGCCAGCAGCCGCGGUAAUACGGAGGGUGCGAGCGUUAAUCGGAGUUACUGGGCGUAAAGCGCACGUAGGCGGUAUGUUAAGCAAGAUGUGAAAGCCCAGAGCUCAACUCUGGAAUAGCAUUUUGAACUGGCAUGCUAGAGUUUUGGAGAGGGUGGUAGAAUUUCCAGUGUAGCGGUGAAAUGCGUAGAUAUUGGAAGGAA
rnacentral:rRNA from 1 species